rnacentral:rRNA from 1 species
UACGUAGGGUGCGAGCGUUAAUCGGAAUUACUGGGCGUAAAGCGUGCGCAGGCGGUUAUGUAAGACAGUUGUGAAAUCCCCGGGCUCAACCUGGGAAUUGCAUCUGUGACUGCAUAGCUAGAGUACGGUAGAGGGGGAUGGAAUUCCGCGUGUAGCGGUGAAAUGCGUAGAUAUGCGGAGGAACACCGAUGACGAAGGCAAUCCCCUGGACCUGUACUGACGCUCAUGCACGAAAGCGUGGGGAGCAAACAGG